rnacentral:rRNA from 1 species
GAUGAACGCUGGCGGCGUGCCUAAUACAUGCAAGUCGAGCGAACGGACGAGAAGCUUGCUUCUCUGAUGUUAGCGGCGGACGGGUGAGUAAUACGUGGAUAACCUACCUAUAAGACUGGGAUAACUUCGGGAAACCGGAGCUAAUACCGGAUAAUAUUUUGAACCGCAUGGUUCAAAAGUGAAAGACGGUCUUGCUGUCACUUAUAGAUGGAUCCGCGCUGCAUUAGCUAGUUGGUAAGGUAACGGCUUACCAAGGCAACGAUGCAUAGCCGACCUGAGAGGGUGAUCGGCCACACUGGAACUGAGACACGGUCCAGACUCCUACGGGAGGCAGCAGUAGGGAACCUUCCGCAAUGGGCGAAAGCCUGACGGAGCAACGCCGCGUGAGUGAUGAAGGUCUUCGGAUCGUAAAACUCUGUUAUUAGGGAAGAACAUAUGUGUAAGUAACUGUGCACAUCUUGACGGUACCUAAUCAGAAAGCCACGGCUAACUACGUG